rnacentral:rRNA from 1 species
GGUAGUUAGGGGCCAGCGGGCUGGGUAAGGGGUAGGGUGCAAGCGUUGGCCGGAUUUAUUGGGGGUAAAGAGUUCGUAGGCGGUUUACCAAGUCUGAUGUUAAAGACCCGAGCUCAACUCUGGGACGGCAUUGGAAACUGGUAGGCUAGAGUCUGGUAGAGGCAAGGGGAAUUCUCGGUGUAGCGGUGAAAUGCGUAGAUAUCGGGAGGAACACCAGUGGCGAAAGCGCCUUGCUGGGCCAGUACUGACGCUGAGGAACGAAAGCCAGGGGAGCGAAAGGGAUUAGAUACCCUUGUAGUC